GCGUAACGCGUAUGCAAUCUACCUUGUACAGAGGGAUAGCCCAGAGAAAUUUGGAUUAAUACCUCAUGGUAUUAUAGAAUGGCAUCAUUUUAUAAUUAAAGUUCCAACGGUACAAGAUGAGCAUGCGUCCUAUUAGCUAGUUGGUAUGGUAACGGCAUACCAAGGCAACGAUAGGUAGGGGUCCUGAGAGGGAGAUCCCCCACACUGGUACUGAGGCACGGACCAG
rnacentral:rRNA from 1 species